CCCAGACUCCUACGGGAGGCAGCAGUCGGGAAUAUUGCGCAAUGGAGGAAACUCUGACGCAGUGACGCCGCGUAUAGGAAGAAGGUUUUCGGAUUGUAAACUAUUGUCAUUAGGGAAGAUAAAAGACUGUACCUAAGGAGGAAGCCUCGGCUAACUAUGUGCCAGCAGCCGCGGUAAUACGUAGGGGGCAAGCGUUGUCCGGAAUUACUGGGUGUAAAGGGUGAGUAGGCGGCAUGGUAAGCCAGAUGUGAAAGCCUUGGGCUUAACCCGAGGAUUGCAUUUGGAACUAUCAAGCUAGAGUACAGGAGAGGAAAGCGGAAUUCCUAGUGUAGCGGUGAAAUGCGUAGAUAUUAGGAAGAACACCAGUGGCGAAGGCGGCUUUCUGGACUGAAACUGACGCUGAGGCACGAAAGCGUGGGGAGCGAACAGGAUUAGAUACCC
rnacentral:rRNA from 1 species